GACGUAGGGCGCGAGCGUUGUCCGGAUUUAUUGGGCGUAAAGAGCUCGUAGGCGGCUUGUCGCGUCGACUGUGAAAACCCGUGGCUCAACCAUGUGGUCUGCAGUCGAUACGGGCAGGCUAGAAUUCGGUAGGGAGACUGGAAUUCCUGGUGUAGCGGUGAAAUGCGCAGAUAUCAGGAGGAACACCGGUGGCGAAGGCGGUUCUCUGGCCUUACCUGACACUGAGGAGCGAAAGCGUGGGAGCGAACAGG
rnacentral:rRNA from 1 species